AAAAAGGGCUUCUGCUAUGAUUGGCACUGGAGUUGCGGCGUAAGCUGCAUAUCCAGCGGAAUCGCCAUCAAAAGAUUUCGGAAGCAUAAUUUUUGCCAAACCGGGCUGCCAGUGAUCUACUGUCCUGGCGCCCCC